AGCCGAAACGGAACAUUUUUGUUCCGUCUGUCGGGGACGGUCUCCCGGCACUGAUGAUGGCAGACCACA
rnacentral:hammerhead_ribozyme from 1 species